rnacentral:lncRNA from 1 species
GGGGAGGUAGUUGAAUCAUGGGGCGCUGGUCUUUCCUGUGCUAUUCUUGUGAUAGUGAAUAAGUCUCAUGAGAGCUGAUGGGUUUAUCAGGGCUUUCCACUUUUGCUUCUUCCUGAUUCUCUCUUGCUGCCACCAUGUAAGAAGUGCCUUUCACCCUCUGCCAUGAUUGUGAGACCUCCCCUGCCAUAUGGAACUGGAGAUGGAAGAGGAGGGAGCCAGACAGAAGGGAUGGGAAGAGUCCUGAGAAGACCAGCAGGCCACAUUGGGAAGCUGGACCAUGAGGGGCUCAAGAUUGCAGCUGCAGUUAUCAAAAAGCGACAAUGAGACCAGGCCAGAAAAUGGACAUCCACCCUGAUUCUAC